CGUAGGCCAAAGUACCGAGUCGGAGAACGUUUCGACGUACGAAGUGAGUUUUAACGUAGCUUAGACUACUUAACGUAGAACUAGGCUACGGAAGCGAGCGGCGGACGGGUGAGUAACACGUGGGUAACCUGCCCAAGAGACUGGGAUAACACCUGGAAACAGAUGCUAAUACCGGAUAACAACACUAGACGCAUGUCUAGAGUUUGAAAGAUGGUUCUGCUAUCACUCUUGGAUGGACCUGCGGUGCAUUAGCUAGUUGGUAAGGUAACGGCUUACCAAGGCAAUGAUGCAUAGCCGAGUUGAGAGACUGAUCGGCCACAUUGGGACUGAGACACGGCCCAAACUCCUACGGGAGGCAGCAGUAGGGAAUCUUCCACAAUGGACGAAAGUCUGAUGGAGCAACGCCGCGUGAGUGAAGAAGGGUUUCGGCUCGUAAAGCUCUGUUGGUAGUGAAGAAAGAUAGAGGUAGUAACUGGCCUUUAUUUGACGGUAAUUACUUAGAAAGUCACGGCUAACUACGUGCCAGCAGCCGCGGUAA
rnacentral:rRNA from 1 species